GUCUUCGUGGCUCAGUUGGCUAGAGCGUUGGUCUCAUAUUCAUAUGAUCCAAUCCAAGAUUGGGAUAUCCAAAGGUCGUGAGUUCGAGCCUCACCGAGGACA
rnacentral:tRNA from 3 species